GUUCAUUCAGGACAACUGUUGCAAAUAGCAGGCAUUGGUCACUGCUUCCUCUCUCUGGUGCUUAGAUUUUCAGAGGAGAAACUCUUCCGGUUCCACAUAAAGUGUGCUCUGAAGAAAGCCCAACAGUCCUUCCUGACAACCAGCUUUUGCCACUUGAUGGGGAAAGAGCCAGUGCCUAACACAAGGGGGAAUCCUGAUCCAAGCAUUUCAGUACUACUGCAAUCCAAAUAAUGAAAAAGGAAAAGAGAGCUAGGCCAUAUGAGAAAGACACUGCUGCUUGGUGGCCAUGUGGAACGUGUUCCAAUUAUUACUGUAAACAAUAAACAGAAGUUAUUCAGCCAACUUUGUGACAAGAGCAAACCUUCUUUCAGUAUAUUUAUGAUUAUGAUGAAGUCUAGAAAUGAGCCACAAUAUAAAGUUUGGCUGCAAACUUCCCCACAUCUUGGUGGUUUUGCAUCUGGUGUUCCAGUACAGACCCAAUUCUGAUUAAACAUCAAAGGAGAAGGUUUCACUAUUUGUGUCUCAAACGUUACUAGAUACUGGCUGGGAGAGAAACAGGAUGUGUGAUUACUUUUAUCCCAAGGAAAGUAGACUUUUCAUCCAGCUCUUAGAAGGAUGCAGCCAAGUUUUGGUGAACAUAUUAUGGUUUUCAUCUCUGAAGCAUGCAAACCCUGAUGAAUACAUGAACUCCUUUAACUAAUUCAGAACUUUGUGCUUCCUGGUACUUCCAGGGGGAUCUGCUAGGAUGACAUGCAGAAACAUUGAGAACAAUGCACUCAGCGAUUUAUUUUGCUCCUGAUUUAAGCAGGAUUAUGAGGGGAAAACAUCUGAAUUGAGGUUAAAUUGUUCAUCUUGUAAAUCCCCAUUGCGGGUAGUUUCAGGACACACAUGCAUGUGUCAGGAAUGUUAUUCAAUCUGUUUAGUCGGGAUAAUAAUGGGAAGAUUCUCCCACACAACCUACUCACUAUAAAAAUCGGACUGGGCUUGGUGGCAAAUUAUGCCCUGAGGAAACCCGAAUGAUCUCCUGUAUCUGUAUGGCACUGCUGUAAUCAAGAGCAUUCAUUUGUGAUACUAUCCUUUAGCAAGAUUGGGAGAAACCACAGAGUUAUACCAUUUUUCCAGUGACUCUGUUUCUAGUCUGAGCAGGAUUUGAAGUAAUAAACCUGUUAAUGGGGAAGUCGAGUUGUAAAUCCCUAUUAUGUGGAUAGUAGUUCUAGAAAAUAUGUACGUCUUAUUGCACUUCUGAUGUUGGGUCUAAAUUGGCCCUUUUGGGUCCUAGUUAGCAAAUAUUGCUGCUAGGACCAAACAAUGUCUUAUUUACAGGGGAAAGUGAUGGUAGACACCAAGUUUCUCAACUGACCUUUCCUUUCUUCAGCCAGCAGCCAUGAGAAGUAAGGAUAUAUAGUAUGUUGUUGUAAUGGGGCCUAAUUAUGGGGCCAUAAUUUACCCUAAUUAUGAGUUCAACUAUAAGAAGUGAGUGAAAGCCAUAAAAUGUCACAAUAACCUGUAAGAGUAAAUGUUGACUGGGAAGGGGUGGGGGGUGGAGAGGAGUGUAAAAGGAAGACCGAGACUGAAUUAGUACAAACAAAAAGGCCUACUGAUACUACUCAAUGACUGUGCUAAGAUCAUGCCUGGUAACAUAAGAACAAUGUGAUCCAAAAUUGGAUGUGUUAGAAAUUAAGCAUAAUAAAUGGGCAAAAUAAUGAGGGCUAUUCUGCCCAUCAUUCCCUUUUGAUGCCCUCAAAAAGAGACUUUGGGGAGGAGCUGGCUACUAUGAUGCUGAAUG